rnacentral:rRNA from 1 species
GAUGAACGCUGGCGGCGUGCCUAAUACAUGCAAGUCGAGCGAACGGACGAGAAGCUUGCUUCUCUGAUGUUAGCGGCGGACGGGUGAGUAACACGUGGAUAACCUACCUAUAAGACUGGGAUAACUUCGGGAAACCGGAGCUAAUACCGGAUAAUAUUUUGAACCGCAUGGUUCAAAAGUGAAAGACGGUCUUGCUGUCACUUAUAGAUGGAUCCGCGCUGCAUUAGCUAGUUGGUAAGGUAACGGCUUACCAAGGCAACGAUGCAUAGCCGACCUGAGAGGGUGAUCGGCCACACUGGAACUGAGACACGGUCCAGACUCCUACGGGAGGCAGCAGUAGGGAAUCUUCCGCAAUGGGCGAAAGCCUGACGGAGCAACGCCGCGUGAGUGAUGAAGGUCUUCGGAUCGUAAAGCUCUGUUAUUAGGGAAGAACAUAUGUGUAAGUAACUGUGCACAUCUUGACGGUACCUAAUCAGAAAGCCACGGCUAACUACGUG